rnacentral:rRNA from 1 species
AGAGGGAUAGCCCAGAGAAAUUUGGAUUAAUACCUCAUAGUAUAUAGACCUGGCAUCAGGAUUAUAUUAAAGUCACAACGGUAAAAGAUGAGCAUGCGUCCCAUUAGCUAGUUGGUAAGGUAACGGCUUACCAAGGCUACGAUGGGUAGGGGUCCUGAGAGGGAGAUCCCCCACACUGGUACUGAGACACGGACCAGACUCCUACGGGAGGCAGCAGUGAGGAAUAUUGGACAAUGGGCGCAAGCCUGAUCCAGCCAUGCCGCGUGCAGGAUGACGGUCCUAUGGAUUGUAAACUGCUUUUAUACAGGAAGAAACACUGGUUCGUGAACCAGCUUGACGGUACUGUAAGAAUAAGGAUCGGCUAACUCCGUGCCAGCAGCCGCGGUAAUACGGAGGAUCCAAGCGUUAUCCGGAAUCAUUGGGUUUAAAGGGUCCGUAGGCGGUUUAAUAAGUCAGUGGUGAAAGCCCAUCGCUCAACGGUGGAACGGCCAUUGAUACUGUUAAACUUGAAUUAUUAGGAAGUAACUAGAAUAUGUAGUGUAGCGGUGAAAUGCUUAGAGAUUACAUGGAAUACCAAUUGCGAAGGCAGGUUACUACUAAUGGAUUGACGCUGAUGGACGAAAGCGUGGGUAGCGAACAGGAUUAGAUACCCUGGUAGUCCACGCCGUAAACGAUGGAUACUAGCUGUUGGAAGCAAUUUCAGUGGCUAAGCGAAAGUGAUAAGUAUCCCACCUGGGGAGACGUCGCAA